rfam:Equus caballus chromosome 2, whole genome shotgun sequence.
UCAACGGCUCUUCUUAGAGCCAUCAGAGAAUUGAGGUCACAGGGAA